CCGCGGUCUCCAUCGCGGGUCCCAGCACCGCCCUCCCUCUCCUGGUAGCUGCAGCAGCACCUGCCCCACGUCCCCCGGCCCCCCACAGCCUCUGCUAGAGGCUCACCCCGCGUCCUCACCCCGCGUCCUCACCCCGCGUCCUCACCCCGCGUCCUCCUCACCCCGCGUCCUCACCCCGCGUCCUCACCCCGCGUCCUCACCCCGCGUCCUCGCGCCCUCACACCUGGCUUCAUCCACCCCAGCCACAGAUGUUUUCUGGGCCUCAGUCCCCCUCAUCCUCUGCUGCUCCUCCCACGGCCCCCCCACCCUGGGGCCCACUCCCUCCCCGCCUUCAGGUCUUGGCUGUGGGGACACUUCUCGGUGAGGCCCCGCUUCCACCCCAUCCCUCAGGGCCCUGCCCUGCGCCAGCCCAGGGGCCCCGCAGGAUGUUCACCACCGCCCAGCGCUUCCCUUCCUCUUUCGCGUUCUGUGUCUGCACUGGAGCGGCCGGCCCGGCAGUCACAGGAGCUGCACGGCAAUGCAUCUGAGACCAUGCGGUGUCACCUUCACAGAAGUGCUCUGGCACAGAGACUCCAGCCUUGCCGGCCUCUCGCCUCCCAAGCACAGAAGCCUCCAGAACGCUGCUUCAAGGACAAGCCCAGGAGACCUGCCAUGCUCAUGCGUGUCUUUGGAAACAGGUUCUCUAAAUUUUGCUUGUGGUUUGUUAAAAAAAAAAAAAAAAUCAGAAGUGUAAUCAAAGACUUCAACAAACGAAGCACCAAAACACUUCAGCUUUGAAAUGUAGAAUUGCAAUGACUGGAAACACGGCUCGCAAAGCAAAAGACAUUAAAAUUCAGUCAUCCCUACAGAAGCCGGACAGGAAUUGAUCACAUCCACUAGUGAAGGCUCAGAAAGUGACAAGAUUUCAUUUGGAAAUCGUACCUGUGUCCUUGGGAACAUCCUGAACCUUGGGAAGCAUCAGCUCAUGGAGUUCCUAUUAACUGGAUAAAUUUAUAUUCUAGAUUGAAAUGGAAUGGAAUUAAGUAGGCCCACGGUUUUGCAGCACGUACAUUUGAAGAAUCAUUAAAAAUCAUCAUAGAAA
rnacentral:lncRNA from 1 species